GACGAACGCUGGCGGCGUGCUUAACACAUGCAAGUCGAACGGUAAGGCUCCAGCUUGCUGGGGUACACGAGUGGCGAACGGGUGAGUAACACGUGGGUGACCUGCCCUGCACUUCGGGAUAAGCCUGGGAAACUGGGUCUAAUACCGGAUAGGACCAUGGUUUGGAUACUGUGGUGGAAAGUUUUUUCGGUGUGGGAUGGGCCCGCGGCCUAUCAGCUUGUUGGUGGGGUAAUGGCCUACCAAGGCGGCGACGGGUAGCCGGCCUGAGAGGGUGGACGGCCACAUUGGGACUGAGACACGGCCCAGACUCCUACGGGAGGCAGCAGUGGGGAAUAUUGCACAAUGGGCGGAAGCCUGAUGCAGCGACGCCGCGUGGGGGAUGACGGCCUUCGGGUUGUAAACUCCUUUCACCAUCGACGAAGGGUUUCUGACGGUAGAUGGAGAAGAAGCACCGGCUAACUACGUG
rnacentral:rRNA from 1 species